rnacentral:misc_RNA from 1 species
GACACUUCCAAUUCCUUCAACUCAAAUUGAUUUUCUUCUAUAUACAAUUUUAAGCAUUCUUCAAGUGCUUCCCUUGCUAGUACUAAAAUCUGAGCAAAGGCUAGAUAUAAAGUUUUAUCUUACUUGGGGAAUUCAAGAUUUAAAGACACAAUGAAAGAGCACUGUAAUUAUUCUGGUAAAUCAUCAAUUCAGACUUUUUUCACAGGAUGACUUACAGUAAAAGGUGAAAGAGUUUACAAAAGAGUUGGAGUUUGAUGCUGCAAAGGGUUUCAGGGAUAGUAGGUUGAAUGUUGAUGAGAUCACUGAUUUUGUAGGGAUCUUUACUCUGAAAAGAUUGGCCUGGCGUCCACAAUUGCAGGAUUGUAUUUUUUGUCCUAUCCUAUCUCUGAAAAAGC